UGCCAUUAGUCGGGGAGCUUUAAGCUGAGAUCACCAUAAUGGUGGGCCCCGUUGAACCUGAACCAGUUAGCACUGGCGGAGGGUGUUAGGUUUUUUUUGAA
rnacentral:ncRNA from 1 species